rnacentral:tRNA from 1 species
CGACAGUAGCUCAGUUGGUCAGAGCAUGGCACUAACAAUGCCAAAAAUAUGGGUUUGAUCCCUGUACAGUCCA